rnacentral:rRNA from 1 species
UGUUUCGGCAAGGGGGUCAUCCCGACUUACCAACCCGAUGCAAACUGCGAAUACCGGAGAAUGUUAUCACGGGAGACACACGGCGGGUGCUAACGUCCGUCGUGAAGAGGGAAACAACCCAGACCGCCAGCUAAGGUCCCAAAGUCAUGGUUAAGUGGGAAACGAUGUGGGAAGGCCCAGACAGCCAGGAUGUUGGCUUAGAAGCAGCCAUCAUUUAAAGAAAGCGUAAUAGCUCACUGGUCGAGUCGGCCUGCGCGGAAGAUGUAACGGGGCUAAACCAUGCACCGAAGCUGCGGCAGCGACGCUUAUGCGUUGUUGGGUAGGGGAGCGUUCUGUAAGCCUGUGAAGGUGUGCUGUGAGGCAUGCUGGAGGUAUCAGAAGUGCGAAUGCUGACAUAAGUAACGAUAAAGCGGGUGAAAAGCCCGCUCGCCGGAAGACCAAGGGUUCCUGUCCAACGUUAAUCGGGGCAGGGUGAGUCGACCCCUAAGGCGAGGCCGAAAGGCGUAGUCGAUGGGAAACAGGUUAAUAUUCCUGUACUUGGUGUUACUGCGAAGGGGGGACGGAGAAGGCUAUGUUGGCCGGGCGACGGUUGUCCCGGUUUAAGCGUGUAGGCUGGUUUUCCAGGCAAAUCCGGAAAAUCAAGGCUGAGGCGUGAUGACGAGGCACUACGGUGCUGAAGCAACAAAUGCCCUGCUUCCAGGAAAAGCCUCUAAGCAUCAGGUAACAUCAAAUCGUACCCCAAACCGACACAGGUGGUCAGGUAGAGAAUACC